AGCGAACGCUGGCGGCAGGCCUAACACAUGCAAGUCGAGCGCCCCGCGAGGGGAGCGGCAGACGGGAGAGUAACACGUGGGAACGUACCCUUUGGUUCGGAAUAACCCAGGGAAACUGGGGCUAAUACCGAAUAUGCCCUUACGGGGAAAGAUUUAUCGCCGAAGGAUCGGCCCGCGUCUGAUUAGCUAGUUGGUGAGGUAAAGGCUUACCAAGGCGACGAUCAGUAGCUGGUCUGAGAGGAUGAUCAGCCCCACUGGGACUGAGACACGGCCCAGACUCCUACGGGAGGCAGCAGUGGGGAAUAUUGGACAAUGGGCGCAAGCCUGAUCCAGCCAUGCCGCGUGGGUGAUGAAGGCCCUAGGGUUGUAAAGCCCUUUCGGCGGGGAAGAUAAUGACGGUACCCGCAGAAGAAGCCCCGGCUAACUUCGUGCCAGCAGCCGCCGUAA
rnacentral:rRNA from 1 species